AAGAUUAAAUUAAUAAGAACUUCUAACUCUUUAUUUUGAAUUAAAUUUCACUAAUCUUC
rnacentral:tRNA from 1 species